rnacentral:siRNA from 1 species
ACGAAUAAUGCCAACUUUUUCA